AUUGAACGCUGGCGGCAUGCUUUACACAUGCAAGUCGGACGGCAGCGGGGGUGCUUGCACUUGCCGGCGAGUGGCGAACGGGUGAGUAAUAUAUUGGAACGUACCGAGUAGUGGGGGAUAACUAAGCGAAAGUUUAGCUAAUACCGCAUACGACCUGAGGGUGAAAGCGGGGGACGGGAGACUGCCUCGCGCUAUUUGAGCGGCCAAUAACUGAUUAGCUAGUUGGUGGGGUAAAGGCCUACCAAGGCGAUGAUCAGUAGCGGGUCUGAGAGGAUGAUCCGCCACACUGGGACUGAGAGACGGCCCAGACUCCUACGGGAGGCAGCAGUGGGGAAUUUUGGACAAUGGGGGCAACCCUGAUCCAGCCAUGCCGCGUGUCUGAAGAAGGCCUUCGGGUUGUAAAGGACUUUUGUUAGGGAAGAAAAGGGAAGUGCUAAUAUCACUUUUUGCUGACGGUACCUAAAGAAUAAGCACCGGCUAACUACGUGCCAGCAGCCGCGGUAAUACGUAGGGUGCGAGCGUUAAUCGGAAUUACUGGGCGUAAAGCGAGCGCAGACGGUUAUUUAAGUCAGAUGUGAAAUCCCCGAGCUUAACUUGGGAACUGCGUUUGAAACUGGGUAACUAGAGUAUGUCAGAGGGGGGUAGAAUUCCACGUGUAGCAGUGAAAUGCGUAGAGAUGUGGAGGAAUACCGAUGGCGAAGGCAGCCCCCUGGGAUAAUACUGACGUUCAUGCUCGAAAGCGUGGGUAGCAAACAGG
rnacentral:rRNA from 1 species